rnacentral:rRNA from 1 species
AGUGAACGCUGGCGGUAGGCCUAACACAUGCAAGUCGAACGGCAGCACAGUAAGAGCUUGCUCUUACGGUUGGCGAGUGGCGGACGGGUGAGGAAUACAUCGGAAUCUACUUUUUCGUGGGGGAUAACGUAGGGAAACUUACGCUAAUACCGCAUACGACCUACGGGUGAAAGCAGGGGAUCUUCGGACCUUGCGCGAUUGAAUGAGCCGAUGUCGGAUUAGCUAGUUGGCGGGGUAAAGGCCCACCAAGGCGACGAUCCGUAGCUGGUCUGAGAGGAUGAUCGGCCACACUGGAACUGAGACACGGUCCAGACUCCUACGGGAAGCAGCAGGAGGGAAUCUUCCGAAAUCGGCGAAAGCCUGACGGAGCAAUGCCGCGUGAGGGAAGAAGGUCUUCGGGUCGGAAAACUCUGGUAUUAGGGAAGAACAAAAGUGCAAGUAAAUAUGCACGUCUUGACGGUAACUAAACAAAAAGCAACGGCUAACUACGUG